CCCUGUAGCAUUUCAAACUAACAAAUUAUUUCAUUAUAGUAAUGGAUGCUAAUUUGUGUUCUCUGCACUGUGAAGAUCAUAUAUGAUGCUGCCAACAUUAUCACAAAUGUGGAAGCCAAGUGGCCAGGCUCUGUCCAUGACUCACAAAUAUUCCGUGAAUGUACACUGAGCACAAAAUUUGGACAUGGAGAGUUCACUGGCUACUUGCUUGGUGAUAGGGGGUAUCCAUGUUUACCCUAUUUGCUUACCCCUUACCCUGACCCUGAACCGGGCCCACAGCAGCGAUAUAAUCUGGCUAAUUGCAGGACAAGAGCCAGAAUUGAAAUGACUAUCGGAAUGCUUAAGGCCCGGUUCCAGUGCCUGCAAAGACUCAGGGUCACCCCAGAAAGGGCAUGUGACAUUAUUGUGGCAUGUGUGAUUCUUCACAACAUUGCCACAAUUAGAGGAGAACACUGUCCUUCUGAACCAAACAUCAGCAGUGAUCCAAACCAUGAACAUCCUGACCCUCCCACGGACAUACAAGAUGGAAGCGCAGUCAGAGACACCAUAUGUCACAAUCAUUUCUUUUGACCCAUCACCUCAACAUGUUGAAAGAAGAAUAAACAGAUUUUUGUUCAACUGGCUUUAUUGGUCGCCUGUGUUUCCUGUACACAAAGUAUUAAAAGAUGUAAACCUCAUAAAGUGUCUCUGUUGCUUCCUCCUCUGUAACAGCUGUCAAUGUUUCUUCAUUAUUUUCCUGUAGUAAAGAAAUAAACAACAUUGCUGUUCUACUGUAAACUCA